ensembl:lncRNA
CUCCACUGACUGCUGAUAGAGCUGGUUGGCUGUGAAAGUAUCCGUCACAGCCAAACUGAAUCAUCUACUUCGACCUGAGCCCUAGGACCAUGCCCCAGGACUACCUGACAUGAUGACUCCUUGCUGUCCCCAGUCCACCUGGCCGUGCUGCUGCUCCAGUUUCAACUGUUCUGCCUUAUUAUUAUUCGACCAUGCUGGUCAUUUAUGAACAUUUGAACAUCUUGGCCAUGUUCUGUUAUAAUCUCCACCCAGCACAGCCAGAAGAGGACUGGCCACCCCACAUAUGCUCUCUCUAAUUCUCUCUUUCUUUCUCUCUCUCGGAGGACCUGAGCCCUAGGACCAUGCCCCAGGACUACCUGACAUGAUGACUCCUUGCUGUCCCCAGUCCACCUGGCCGUGCUGCUGCUCCAGUUUCACCUGUUCUGCCUUAUUAUUAUACGACCAUGCUGGUCAUUUAUGAACAUUUGAACAUCUUGGCCAUGUUCUGUUAUAAUCUCCACCCAGCACAGCCAGAAGAGGACUGGCCACCCCACAUAGCCUGGUUCCUCUCUAGGUUUCUUCCUAGGUUUUGGCCUUUCUAGGGAGUUUUUCCUAGCCACCGUGCUUCUACACCUGCAUUGCUUGCUGUUUGGGGUUUUAGGCUGGGUUUCUGUACAGCACUUUGAGAUAUCAGCUGAUGUACGAAGGGCUAUAUAAAUACAUUUGAUUUGAUUUGAUUUUGAUUUGAAUUAUAAUCCACAUAAUUCACAUUUCUUGUUGCUACAGGAUUAUUUUCAUGCUGUAUCAAACUGGCUCAAAUUGAGAUCCUACAUCCAUUUGUGUAUUUAUAAAUGAUUGAUACAGUGCCUUCAGAAAGUAUUCCCACCCCUUGACUUUUUCAACAUUUUGUUGUGUUACAGCCUGAAUUUAAAAUGGAUUAAAUUGAG